CCGGCCUGGGCGGGGUGGCCGGCGAGGCCCUGGCCCUGUCGAUGGACGUCGACAUGAUCGCCUUCACCGGCUCGGGCCCGGUGGGCCGGC
rnacentral:tRNA from 1 species